rnacentral:lncRNA from 1 species
ACUCCAGAUUAAGCCAGAGGAUCGGAAGAAAAAUAAACAGCACGGUGUAUUUCCGCGUUUUUGUGGUGUUCUCAGAGCGCAAAUUUUCGGUCUAUCUUUGGUAUUCAAUCACAGCUCGCCCCGUUUGUCUGAUAAGCUGUUCGCUUUCAUCCUACUCGGUUUAGCUGAUGAUUGAAUAGGGGCACCUGUAACACCCCAAAAUUU